AGAGUUUGAUCAUGGCUCAGGAUGAACGCUGGCGGCGUGCCUAAUACAUGCAAGUCGAGCGGAAAGGCCCAUCCAGCAUUUAGCAGACAGGCAGAAUACAGAUAGCAGAUAAUUAACAGAUGGCAGAUAGCAGACAGAAGUCUGCGACCUGGUACCUGUAAAAUUUCUGUCAUCUGCUACCUGAUUUCUGAUAAAUGGUGGUUGGGUACUCGAGCGGCGGACGGCUGAGUAACGCGUAGGAACGUACCCCAAAGUGAGGGAUAAGCACCAGAAAUGGUGUCUAAUACCGCAUGUGGUCUUCGGAUUAAAGCUUCGGCGCUUUGGGAGCGGCCUGCGUAUGAUUAGCUUGUUGGUGAGGUAAUAGCUCACCAAGGCGACGAUCAUUAGCUGGUCUGAGAGGAUGAUCAGCCAGACUGGGACUGAGAACGGCCCAGACUCCUACGGGAGGCAGCAGUAGGGAAUUUUCCACAAUGGGCGAAAGCCUGAUGGAGCAACGCCGCGUGCAGGAUGAAUGCCUUCGGGUUGUAAACUGCUUUUAUCUGUGACGAUUAUGACGGUAGCAGAUGAAUAAGGAUCGGCUAACUCCGUGCCAGCAGCCGCGGUCAUACGGAGGAUCCAAGCGUUAUCCGGAAUUACUGGGCGUAAAGAGUUGCGUAGGUGGCAUUGCAACGGUAGUGAAAGCGUCUCGCUCAACGAGAUAUACAUUAUCGAAACUGCAAAGCUAGAGGACGAGAGAGGUUAUUGGAAUUCCUAGUGUAGGGGUAAAAUCCGUUGAUAUUAGGAGGAACACCGAUGGCGUAGGCAGAUAACUGGCUCGUUCCUGACACUCAGGCACGAAAGCGUGGGGAGCAAACAGGAUUAGAUACCCCAGUAGUCC
rnacentral:rRNA from 1 species